rnacentral:rRNA from 1 species
AUCGAGGUUAAAGGUACCCGUACCGCAAACCGACACAGGUGGGUGAGGAGAGUAUCCUAAGGCCAGCGAGAGAACUGUUGUUAAGGAACUCGGCAAAAUGACCCCGUAACUUAGGGAUAAGGGGUGCCACCAUCAGGUGGCCGCAGAGAAUAGGCCCAAGCGACUGUUUACCAAAAACAUAGGUUUCUGCUAAGUCGCAAGACGAUGUAUAGGAGCUGACGCCUGCCCGGUGCUGGAAGG